UACGUAGGGGGCAAGCGUUAUCCGGAUUUACUGGGUGUAAAGGGAGCGUAGGCGGUAAGGCAAGUCAGAUGUGAAAACCCGGGGCUCAACUUCGGGACUGCAUUUGAAACUGUCGAACUAGAGUGUCGGAGAGGUAAGUGGAAUUCCAAGUGUAGCGGUGAAAUGCGUAGAUAUUUGGAAGAACACCGGUGGCGAAGGCGGCUUACUGGACGAUAACUGACGCUGAGGCUCGAAAGCGUGGGGAGCAAAC
rnacentral:rRNA from 1 species